rnacentral:SRP_RNA from 1 species
GCUGGGCGUGGUGAUGUGUGCCUGUAGUCCUAGCUAUUUGGGAGACUGAGGCAGGAGGAUAACUUGAGUCCAGGAGUUUGAGACUGUAGUGAGCUAUGACUGAGCCACUGCACUCCAACCUGGGCAAAAAAGCAAGACCCUGUCUCUA